UCUCCUAUAGUGUAAUGGUAGCAUAUAAGGCUCAUGAUCUUAUGGUGAUAGUUCAAAUCUAUCUAGGGGGUAA